GCUCUCCUCAUAUGUUUGCUACAAUAUUAUUUGCUUCCUUAGCUCUCUUGUUACCUUUGCAUCUCUCAAUCUUUUACUAGUUCUGCAGGAAGUUUGUUCAUUAGAAUUCCCUGCACUUGUAUGCUAUGCUGUUUUGCAUACAAUUUAAAUAAAGGGAGGAUGAGAUUGAAUCUGCUGGCUUCAUGGGCUGGUAAUUUGAGGCUGAAUUUCCUCUGUUGGUGCUGUAUUUGUAUUUCCUGAUUUCAUCAUUAUAUUGGAAUUAUUAUUAUAUUUUAUAUAUUGAUUAGGAAAAUUUUCAAUAUCUG
rnacentral:misc_RNA from 1 species